GGCGGGACUAAGGGCUUGAUCCGGGCUGCUGAGGGCCAUGGCGCUGGGUGCUGCCGCCGAGGGCGCGUCAGCGUGGGACGCUUCGCCGGGACCUGUGAGGCGUCCGGCGCCCGUCUGACAUCUUCCAUACGCUCAGGAGGGGGUGGACGGCCACGAGCGAGCGGCCGCUGAGGAGGCGUCUUGGACCGGCAGCUCUGUCUGUCUGUCGCCCCGCCGCAUUGAUGAUUCGGAGACCUAAUCAUGAUUUAAUAAAAUAAAUAAUUUCUGCAGCGAGCGAGCGGAGCUCCGGCGGCGCUCGGAAGCUGAGCGGACUCACAGUCCGGUACCGGCGGCCGGAACCAGGAGAUCCACAGUCCGGUGUUUGUGAGGGAUCGAUCGAUCGAUCGGUCGAUCGAUCGGUCGGUCCGGUCCAGCGCAGGGAGCGGGGAAGAAAAAUGAUGAAUCCGGUCCACGCACGCACGGCCGCGCGGGUGCGAGUGCUGACCGCGGACCCUUGAUUCAGCCUCGAGUGGCUGCACGACAGUGUCGACACCCGGCUCCGAACCCGAGGCCCCGGACGGACUCAGACGCGACGGUCCGAAGAGUGAAAACAAGCCAUCCUUCAUGCUUGGGGCCUUUGCGCUGUCCGCUCGGGCUGCGGUUCGAAUCCCUGGGAACCGCUGUCGGACCCACCCUGUAGCCCUUGCUGAACGUACCCGCCGUACACUGUGCUCGGUGCGAGCGAAGGCGUCUCGGAGAGCUGUGUCCGGGGACGGUGCCCUCCAGCUGCGCUGAGGCUCCUCGCUCGUGCCGUAGAUGGACUAUGUAGGACAGCUGAAAGGCGCAUCCCGUCACCCGUUUACACGCCUCACGAAAAACUGGAGCCGCGGCCUCCGUCACCAGCAACGCGGCAGAGAAACGCAGGCUGCAGCGGGUGGAGGGUGCGGUCGGGGGUGUGGACGGUGGGCGUGGCCGGAGGGGGUGUGGUUCGAUGUCACGCACGCCUGGCAGCGUCUCCCUUUUGCUGAGGAUCACCCGGACAGCACGCUGAGCGGAGCAUCCGAGUGGCUCCGCCCCCUCCGACGACUGGACGGAGAAGAGCGUGGGGAUGAGAGCGCAGGGCGGUCCUGUGCGUGUGAAAUGCACAGUGUGUGUACACGCUCCCUUCGCUCCUUGAUUCUCUUUUCUUUUCCCGUUGACCGCUUCCAGCCGCUGUUUAAUGAGCGUGUUUGGCCUGGGGAGGACUGGUUCGCUGCAGGUCUCCUGGAUGAGCACCCUGCGUCACCCCCAACUGAUUUACCUUGGACCUUUAUCUGUCCUCGCACCCGAGCCUCCCCCGGGUCGGAGCUCUUCCCUCUAUCCGCUCGUUCCCAAGGUCCUCCAUCUUUGCCGUAUUUGGGAGCGUUCUCCCCGCAGCGGUUCGUUUUCGCUGUCGUGUCCGUAGCAGCGCAACUCUGAACUCCGCGGCCGUCGCCCCCGCUGUUGGAGCGACGUUUACGAUUUACGGCAGAAUAACUCGUCCGGUUCCCCUUUUCCCACAAGCACAGCCGGAUCCUCCGCCGAGCGCUCCCAGGUUCCCUGCUCGACCACCGCCGGGGUGCUGCUUGCCUCUCUGGUUUCUCUCCCUGUCGGUUAAUCUCGGGGGCGAACCGCGCCCCCCGCAGGCCAGCGUGUGCAUCUGCGGGGAGAUGUUGCCGCGUUUCGCAUGGUCACACGGGCUGGAGAUGAUGACCUGCGGGAGACACUCUCAGCGGUUGAUCAUCCCAGUUACUGAUCGCUGGGAGAUUCUGUGAGAUGCACCGCGAACCAUAUUGCACAGUGUUUUGCCCUUAACCGCCGUCGCAUCCGAGCCGCGCAGCGACCGCUGUCCGGUUUGCCUUUACGCCACUUUCACAAGCGCGCUCCGGUUAAGGUCGAAUCCUUCGGCUCUGUGUCGGUAGCUCCCGAGGACUCGUUGCUCUGGGGUCUGUGGCGUCGCGAUCGACAUGGCGAACGGUCCCUGAAGGGCCGAGGGUGCGGGACAGGUGUCCGUCCUCCGUCUCCUCCUCAAAAUGCUCUCCGCGUGGACACCGUGGCGGCUCCGGGCUCCCCGUCUGUGACCCUCCGUCGGUCCGCUCUCUCCUGACCCUUCGUUCGUUCGAACCC
rnacentral:lncRNA from 1 species